CUCUCUCCUCUCUCUCUGCUGGCUGGCUGGCUGUCUAGGCCUAUGUGUCACCACCUGGCACUUGCUCUCAUUGUCUUGUGCGAGUGCUUUUGCCAGCAGUUUGGAGUGCAGACCCAUCACCCCUCACUGGGGCCCCCCAUGAGGCCUGCCUGACUGCAUGCCCCACCCGGGCCCAUGGCAGCGCACCUGGAAGCGGACGGCUGAGGACUUGUUGCAGUGCAUGGAGAUGGGCGCGAAGCUGUACAGGGCCUUCAGUACGUCGCGGUUGAAGGAGUUCCAGGGAACAGAGGUGAACUGCUGAGACACGGACGCCUGAGGGCAGGAUCCCGAAGCCCCCCUGCAAGUUGGAGGAGACCCGUCAGCCCCGGGCCAUGCCACGCAGACGCUGCCAUCCAGCAGCUUUCGCCGCACCCACGUGUACACUGCGUCCACUCGUCUGUUCACUGCACCGUGCCAGGCAUGCUCUGGGGAACCGAGUCCCUGCCCUCAAGGAAUUGCCACCAUUGGCAGGAGAGACAGGCAGUGAGUGAGUGAGUCAACCAGGAAAUUCGUAUCAGGUACUGAUGAUGCUGUGAGGAAAAAUGAAACGGGACAAGCGGAUGGGGUGUUAUUGUGCCCAUUUUAUGGGUACAGAAACUGAGUCUCAGAGCAGGCAAGGGGAUGCCCCGUGGUGGCCACAGCAUCGGUGGCACAGCCUGAGUGCACCCAGCGUCCCGGCCAUUGUCUGGAAGCUGUCCCCAUGACCUCCAGCGAGAGCCUGGAGCCAAGGACUGCAAGGGAGGCCCUUUCCACUGCAGCCCCGCACCGUCCACCAGUCAUUUCUCCAACGUGGCUCUGAGGGGAGCAGGGACUCUAUAAGACAGGACCGUGACUAGAGGCCGCGACAACCUCCAGCCUCUCACGGCAACCCUACGGCCUGCCAUCGCAUGGGAGGGGCAGGGCAGGCACCCUCUGAGUCCCCACUGCCAGCUUUAAGCCCCUCGCUGGGUUGCUGCUCUUGGAGCUGGUGACCGUGGAGCCUCAGCCAUAGGAGGAAGAACAGCAGCAGCUUGGAGGAGCUGGGGCUGGAGAGAGCAAAGCUCCCCCGGCAGCAGCUCAGAUCCCAGCAGGUCAGGGGCCGGGACAUGACGCCCUGGCCACCCUUGCCCCUCCAGGCUCCCCGCUGUUUGUGAAGCUGCUGUGGGCCUGGGGAUUUCAUCUGGCUGGUGGGGAAGAAAGGCAAUCUUUACUCUAUGGCAGAACAAAGGGACUGGGCAAAGCUUGGCGUGGCACUUACACCAGCUGCCGCCCCCUCCUCCCGUGCAGACAAAGAGCAUGGGACAGUUCUGCCCAGAGACGAAACCUGGCACCUGUUGGCCAGGACGCGUUUUUGCCAGCAUUGUUCUCUGGGCCGGAUUCCUCCUUUCCCAGCUUUUCUCAUCCAUCCCGCCCCCGUCAGAUCGGGACGAUUGCCCUCCUGUGUGAGUUCCUGUCCCUCCCCACCCUCUGCCACCACAGACAUCAAAAGGGAACUGAGUCCGACCCUGUGUAGAAUCUGUUCUCCUCUUUCACCUGGGGAAGGAAAUCGAAUUUCAAAGGCCACUGUGUCUUGGAUCAGCAGGCGAGGGCUUGUCAGAGUGUGAGAAGCUCAGGUCCACCUGGGGAGCUGCCCUCCCCUUUGAUCCCACCUGGUGCUGUGAUGUGGCCACUGCCAAGAGGACGACAUGGGCCAGGGAAGCCACAGAACUGCCCACGGGGACGCUGGCACCGAGGGCCUCAACCUGCAGAACGGCCAUCUGAGAUGUCCGCGGUGCUCACCAGGCCUGGCAGCCCCGAACGCCCUGGGACGUGGCGUCAGUUCCGCCGCCGUGAAGCCAGAUUGGGCAGGGAAUAUGCAGUCUCCUCGCUGGAUGCCCGGCAAGACCCUCCCAUCCCUGGCCCCGGGGCCGCGCCUGCAGAAUGGGGCUGAUGGUGGGGACUUGCCUGGGGUGCUCCACCUGCAGAGCCCUCUGUUUGCGAGCCCACUCAGUCACUGCACAGGUGCUUAGCCGAGAGGCGGCACAGUCGGGGUUGGCACCUGCACCCAUACCAGCCCUGCCUCCUGUUCGCUGUGUGGCCUGAGUGGCUGGACCUCACUGUAUCUCCUGGUGGGAUUGCUCAGAGGUCUCAGCAAGGCUUGGUGUGGUUAGGAUGAGUUAUUAGAGCAGUGCUGAGCUGUGGCAAGCACCCGACAUCAGCCACUGCUGUGAUAUACUGAGCACCUCCUCUAGAGAGAAUAAAGGACUGACAAAGCUGUCCUGUCUCCACCCUGAGUUUGUGAUCAGGAACCUAGGACACUUGUCACCUGAAAUCCAAGGGAGACAGGAAGGGUGGGGUAACAGCUGUGAGGCACAAGACCCUGGGUCAAAUCCCAGCUCAGCCAUCUAUCAGCUGUGUGACUUUGGUCAAGUGCCUGCCCUCUCUGAGCCUUUAUGUCUCACCUGUGAAAAUACAAACACUGGCUGGGUGCUAUGGCUCAUGCCUGUAAUCCCAGCAUGAGGGAUUACAUGAGGAGUUUGAGACCAGCCUGGCCAACAUGGUGAAAAUCCAUCUCUACUAAAAAUACAAAAAUUAGCCAGGCGUGGUGGUGGGUGCCUGUAGUCCCAGCUAUUCAGGAGGCUGAGGCAGGAGAAUCGGUUGAACUCGGGAGGUGGAGGUUGCAGCAAGCUGAGAACACACAGCCUGGGUGACAGAGCGAGACUCCGUCUC
rnacentral:lncRNA from 1 species